CGAAAGCCUGACGGAGCAAUACCGCGUGGGGGAGGAAGGCUCUUGGGUCGUAAACCUCUUUUCUCAGGGAAGAAAAAAAUGACGGUACCUGAGGAAUAAGCAUCGGCUAACUCCGUGCCAGCAGCCGCGGUAAUACGGAGGAUGCAAGCGUUAUCCGGAAUGAUUGGGCGUAAAGCGUCCGCAGGUGGCAGUACAAGUCUACUGUCAAAGGUCAAGGCUCAACUUUGGACAGGCAGUGGAAACUGUACAGCUAGAGUGCGGUGGGGGCAGAGGGAAUUCCCAGUGUAGCGGUGAAAUGCGUAGAGAUUGGGAAGAACACCAGUGGCGAAGGCGCUCUGCUAGGCCGCAACUGACACUCAGGGACGAAAGCUAGGGGAGCGAAUGGGAUUAGAUACCCCAGUAGUCCUAGCCGUAAACGAUGGAUACUAGGUGUAGCUUGUAUCGACCCAAGCUGUGCCGUAGCUAACGCGUUAAGUAUCCCGCCUGGGGAGUACGCCGGCAUUGGUGAAACUCAAAGGAAUUGACGGGGGCCCGCACAAGCGGUGGAGUAUGUGGUUUAAUUCGAUGCAACGCGAAGAACCUUACCAGGACUUGACAUGUCUGGAAUCUCGGGGAAACCUGAGAGUGCCUUAGGGAGCCAGAACACAGGUGGUGCAUGGCUGUCGUCAGCUCGUGUCGUGAGAUGUUGGGUUAAGUCCCGCAACGAGCGCAACCCUCGUGUUUAGUUGCCAGCGGGUAAUGCCGGGCACUCUAGAGAGACUGCCGGUGACAAACCGGAGGAAGGUGGGGAUGACGUCAAGUCAGCAUGCCCCUUACGUCCUGGGCUACACACGUACUACAAUGCUACGGACAAAGGGCAGCAAGCAUGCGAAUGCAAGCAAAUCCCAUAAACCGUGGCUCAGUUCAGAUUGCAGGCUGCAACUCGCCUGCAUGAAGGCGGAAUCGCUAGUAAUCGCAGGUCAGCCAUACUGCGGUGAAUACGUUCCCGGGCCUUGUACACACCGCCCGUCACACCAUGGAAGCUGGCAGUGCCCGAAGUCGUUACUCCAACCAUUCGUGGAGGAGGACGCCGAAGGUGUGGCUGGUGACUGGGGUGAAGUCGUAACAAGGUAGCCGUACCGGAAGGUGUGGCUGGAUCACCUCCUUUAGAGGGAGACCUACCUGGUUUGAUUACUUAGAUGUAGUGAAAUUAGGUCAAUCCCGAUAGGUCGUGCGAAGACCAAUGUUUCUUGCUUUCAGACUGUAAUUGGUUCAGGUUAAGGGGCUAUUAGCUCAGGUGGUUAGAGCGCACCCCUGAUAAGGGUGAGGUCCCUGGUUCGAGUCCAGGAUGGCCCACUCGUGAUAUCAAGGGGGGGUAUAGCUCAGUUGGUAGAGCGCUGCCUUUGCAAGGCAGAUGUCAGCGGUUCGAGUCCGCUUACCUCCAAGUUGACAGCAUGGGUUGACAGCGAGAGGAAGAGCAUGAUAGUCUAGAAAAGGUGGAAUUCAGCACCGGCACUUACUAACAAAAGUCCGAAUGCUGGAGUCCAAUCCAGAACAGAACCUUGAAAACUGCAUAGUAACGCAAAUAAGCAGGCAGGGUACGUCAUCGUAUCUUGCAUUAUGAAUGGUCAAGCUAAUAAGGGCUGAUGGUGGAUACCUAGGCACACAGAGGCGAAGAAGGACGUGGCGACCGACGAAAAGCCCCGGGGAGCUGGAAGCAAGCAUCGAGCCAGGGGUGUCCGAAUGGGGCAACCCAGAAACAGCCCGUUGAAUACAUAGACGGGUAUGAGCGAACCUAGCGAACUGAAACAUCUUAGUAGCUAGAGGAAGAGAAAGAAAAAUCGAUUCCCUCAGUAGUGGUGAGCGAAAGGGGAAGAGCCUAAACCAGUUGAUUUAUCGACUGGGGUUGUGGGACAGCGACAUGGAAUCAAAGAGUUAGACGAAGCAGUUGGAAAGCUGCGCCAGAGAAGGUGAUAGACCUGUAGUCGAAAACUAUUAGAUACUAGCUGGAUCCCGAGUAGCACGGGGCACGAGGAAUCCCGUGUGAAUCCGCGAGGACCACCUCGUAAGGCUAAAUACUACUGUGUGACCGAUAGUGAACCAGUACCGCGAGGGAAAGGUGAAAAGAACCCCGAAAGGGGAGUGAAAUAGAACAUGAAACCAUCAGCCUACAAGCAGUGGAAGGACGAUUAAACGUCUGACCGCGUGCCUGUUGAAGAAUGAGCCGGCGACUUAUAGGCAGUGGCAGGUUAAGGCACUCUGUGCUGAAGCCAAAGCGAAAGCGAGUCUGAAGAGGGCGAAUUCGUCACUGAAUAUAGACCCGAACCCGGGUGAUCUAACCAUGUCCAGGAUGAAGCUUGGGUAACACCAAGUGGAGGUCCGCACCGACUGAUGUUGAAAAAUCAGCGGAUGAGGUGUGGUUAGCGGUGAAAUACCAAUCGAACCCGGAGCUAGCUGGUUCUCCCCGAAAUGUGUUGAGGCGCAGCGGUUGUAGUUAAAUUUGGGGGUAAAGCACUGUUUCGGUGCGGGCCGCUAACGCGGUACCAAAUCGAGGCAAACUCAGAAUACCAGAUGAAUUUACAGCCAGUGAGACGGUGGGGGAUAAGCUUCAUCGUCAAGAGGGAAACAGCCCAGACCACCAGCUAAGGUCCCCAAAUUGACACUAAGUGAUAAAGGAGGUGGGAAUGCAUUGACAACCAGGAGGUUUGCCUAGAAGCAGCCAACCUUAAAAGAGUGCGUAAUAGCUCACUGGUCAAGCGUUCCUGCGCCGAAAAUGAACGGGGCUAAGUGUUGUACCGAAGCUGUGGGAUAUGCGAAUAUCGGUAGGGGAGCGUUCCGUUGUAGAAUGAAGCACUAGCGGCAAGCAGGUGUGGACGAAGCGGAAGUGAGAAUGUCGGCUUGAGUAGCGAAAACAUUGGUGAGAAUCCAAUGCCCCGAAACCCUAAGGGUUCCUCCGCAAGGUUCGUCCGCGGAGGGUUAGUCAGGACCUAAGGCGAGGCCAAACGGCGUAGUCGAUGGACAACGGGUCAAAAAUCCCGUACUGAAUUUGGUUUGUGCAGAGGGACGGAGAAGGCGGACAUCAGCCGGAGGAUGGUUACCGGUUCAACGACGCGAGGUGAUGAGAGACGGCGAAAACGUCUUGAGCUGAGCUAGGAGUACGAGAGUCUACGGACUCGAAGUGGUGAAGUCAAGCUUCCAAGAAAAGCUCCAAGCACGUUAAGCCAAAUUUACCUGUACCAGAAACCGACACAGGUGGGGAGGUUGAGUAAACUAAGGGGCGCGAGAUAACUCUCUCUAAGGAACUCGGCAAAAUGGCCCCGUAACUUUGGAAGAAGGGGUGCCCACCUCAUAAGUGGGUCGCAGUGAAGAGAUCCAGGCGACUGUUUACCAAAAACACAGGUCUCCGCUAAGUCAAAUGACGACGUAUGGGGGCUGACGCCUGCCCAGUGCCGGAAGGUUAAGGAAGUUGGUCAGGGUGAAAGCUUAAAGCUGACGACUGAAGCCCCGGUGAACGGCGGCCGUAACUAUAACGGUCCUAAGGUAGCGAAAUUCCUUGUCGGGUAAGUUCCGACCCGCACGAAAGGCGUAACGAUCUGGAUGGUGUCUCAGAGAGAGACUCGGCGAAAUAGGAAUGUCUGUGAAGAUACGGACUGCCUGCACCUGGACAGAAAGACCCUAUGAAGCUUUACUGUAGCCUGAAAUUGGGUCCGGGCUUGCUCUGCGCAGCAUAGGUGGGAGGCAUUGAACUUGUCCUUGUGGGGACAAGGGAGCCACCGGUGAGAUACCACUCUGAGCAAGCUAGGAUUCUGACCUGGAGCCGUUAGCCGGCGCAGGAACAUUUUCAGGUGGGCAGUUUGACUGGGGCGGUCGCCUCCUAAAUGGUAACGGAGGCGCGCAAAGGUUCCCUCAGCACGCUUGGAAACCGUGCAUAGAGUGUAAAGGCAAUAAGGGAGCUUGACUGCAAGAGCUACAACUCGAGCAGGGACGAAAGUCGGCCUUAGUGAUCCGACGGCACUGCGUGGAAGGGCCGUCGCUCAACGGAUAAAAGUUACUCUAGGGAUAACAGGCUGAUCUCCUCCAAGAGUCCACAUCGACGA
rnacentral:sRNA from 1 species